GACGAACGCUGGCGGCGUGCCUAAUACAUGCAAGUAGAACGCUGAAGGAGGAGCUUGCUUCUCUGGAUGAGUUGCGAACGGGUGAGUAACGCGUAGGUAACCUGCCUGGUAGCGGGGGAUAACUAUUGGAAACGAUAGCUAAUACCGCAUAAGAGUAGAUGUUGCAUGACAUUUGCUUAAAAGGUGCAAUUGCAUCACUACCAGAUGGACCUGCGUUGUAUUAGCUAGUUGGUGGGGUAACGGCUUACCAAGGCGACGAUACAUAGCCGACCUGAGAGGGUGAUCGGCCACACUGGGACUGAGACACGGCCCAGACUCCUACGGGAGGCAGCAGUAGGGAAUCUUCGGCAAUGGACGGAAGUCUGACUGAGCAACGCCGCGUGAGUGAAGAAGGGUUUCGGAUCGUAAAGCUCUGUUGUAAGAGAAGAACGAGUGUGAGAGUGGAAAGUUCACACUGUGACGGUAUCUUACCAGAAAGGGACGGCUAACUACGUG
rnacentral:rRNA from 1 species